GGACUUUCAAAGUACAUAUAAUAACAUUCGAACGACAUGGAGAAGAUUAGCUUAAUUAAGCAUGGCCCAUGUGCCAGGAUGAACCAUUGCUGUACAUUUCAUUUGAUU